AUUGAACGCUGGCGGCAGGCUUAACACAUGCAAGUCGAACGAGUGGCGGACGGGUGAGUAAUGCUUGGGAAUCUAGCUUAUGGAGGGGGAUAACUACGGGAAACUGUAGCUAAUACCGCGUACCAUAGGAUGAGCCCAAGUGGGUUUAGGUAGUUGGUGAGGUAAAGGCUCACCAAGCAGACGAUCUCUAGCUGGUCUGAGAGGAUAACCAGCCACACUGGUAUUGAGACACGGCCCAGACUCCGACGGGAGGAAGCAGUGGGGAAGAGUGCGAGAUGGGGGCAACCUGACGCAGCCAUGCCGCGUGAAUGAAGAAGGCCUGCGGGUUGUAAAGUUCUUUCGGUAGCGAUGCGUUAACUACAGAAGAAGCACCGGCUGACUCCGUGCCAGCAGCCGGGGUAAUAC
rnacentral:rRNA from 1 species